UACAGAGGGUGCGAGCGUUAAUCGGAAUUACUGGGCGUAAAGCGCGCGUAGACGGCUUUGCAAGUCGGGUGUGAAAUCCCCAGGCUUAACCUGGGAACUGCAUUCGAGACUGCAUUGCUAGAGUAUGGGAGAGGGAAGUGGAAUUUCCGGUGUAGCGGUGAAAUGCGUAGAUAUCGGAAGGAACAUCAGUGGCGAAAGCGACUUCCUGGACCAAUACUGACGCUCAUGUGCGAAAGCGUGGGGAGCAAACAGG
rnacentral:rRNA from 1 species